rnacentral:lncRNA from 1 species
UCAGUGCCCGCGACGGAGGCGACUUCCGACGGAAAAAGUAGCGGGAGGCCGGAAAUUAUUGUCUUUGGCCUCUGGUUCUGCGAGCCGAUUGUGUUUUCGUACCGUCGAAAAAAAAAAAAAGAAAAGAAAGAAAACAACUACCUUUCUGAAUGUAUUGUAUCCAAGGCCUUUGCAAUGUUGGGAGCAGAGUGAGCAGGUGUGGGGAGUCCUGAAAGACUGGUUACAUUACGGAGGUCAUCUGGCAUCCAGAGAAAGCUACUGCUUCAUCAAGCAGUUCUCCACCCUGCUGGGAGGGCAGUUCAAGAAAGGAUUUCUCUGGUGGUCCUGUUCUGGAACUCACCCUUGUAGACCAGGCUGGCCUGGAACUCACAGAGAUCUGCCUGCUUUUGCCUCCUGAGUGCCGGGAUCAAAGGCGUGUGCCACCACUGCUUGUCUACUUUGUAAUGUUACAAAUAGUUUUUCAAUGAUGUAUUCAUAGCUUAAAAAAUUGUGCAGAACCAGAUCUGGCAGUACAGUCUGUAAUUCUGGGGGCUGGGGGUGUGAAAGAGGAAAUUCAAGAGGUUGGGGGGAGAGAGUUGUGAGUUUGAGGCCAGCCUGGACCUGGACAUACAGACACACUCCUGUAACCCACACUCAGGAACGUGCUUGAUAUAAGAGGAUAGAGAGGCCAAGGGGAACUCAGGUUAGACAUGACAGAACCCGGUCUCCACAGUAAAAGUUGUGGGUAAACUUCUCAGUGCUUUGAUGACUUUUGAAAACCUCCAGUCACAAAUGCUGGAAUCUGCUUUAUAAGGCAAUAGGAAAAAGACAGAAGCCAAAAUACAAGGAUUCUACUCAAGCCUUCUGGAAAGGACUGUGUUGCCUUUGAUGCAUGGAGCAAAGAAUUCUUAGAUUUUCCUGCCAGCCCCUGAAACCGGACCUGUGAUGUCAAGUUGGGUUUUGUUGUUGUUUGUUUUAACCUGCCAUGAGAUGGGUUGACAGGAUCAAUCAUUUUACACCAUGAUCCCUUGUCCCUGGGAGGACUGUCUGAGACAUUAGAGAAAUGGGAUACAGACUUCCUCACUGGGCUGGGGGAGCUGGCUCAGGUGCAGAGUACUUGCCACGAUAUGAAGAUCCACUUUUAAAAUAAAUCAAACAUAGUCAAGCAUAAU